GCCUACUACCAACAACAUUAUUGGGAACACUUGGCUGAUACCAGUAGUUUGGUUACAACCGUUCACUGAAACAGGAAUUGGAUCUGGACAUACUACCAAGCAAUCUACGCCUCCUGGACCUUUUGCGACAUUUUGCCUUGUCAAGUCGUGGAUCGUGACAAGUAUAUAAACACUCGUCCAUACCAUCUUGUCUUCACUUUACUCCCAUCCUCCCAUCACACUCGCCACCUCUUCUCUACAUCUACGCAACAGCCUCCAUCUUCGAUCCAACACAACCUGACGUGUAGUCAUUACCUCUUUCUCAUCCUUUGAUCCAAACUUUCAUCAACCGCAAAAAUGUGCACCGUUUACAUCACCCGCUUCACUGCUUGCGCGCAUGUCAAGAAGGAUACAGUCGAUUGUGCCACCAAGAAAGGAUCAGGAAGCAACACUUGCCCCGACGGUCCUGUAAAGGAGAAAGAACACACGGUGGAAGGCGACUGCGGACAGCAUUGAUAAUGCGAAGUCAUGAUACAACAGGAGCUACUCUCAUGAUUAGCAUCCCUGAAUCAACAAGCACGGAACGACAACCCUUUAGAACCUCCCGAAUACGCAACGCUUCGGCCUUUCUAUCUGUGGGCAAUUCUUAUCAACCUCCUGCCACACAUCUGCGCAAUCCAUUGCCGGCUUCAGAGUUUCAAAGGCACAGUGGGUGGUGAUGGGCGAGGACAAGCACUUGCAGAAGAUGUGGGCGUUGGAAGGGAGUCAGGCCUUGGCUAAUUUCUUGGCUGGUCCAAGAAUCGGGCUUUUCUGGCGCUGAACUCCUCGUGUACAAAGGAGACCGGGCGGAGGCUUUCUUAUUUCCAUGUUUUUUCUUUACUUUUCUCCUUUGCACAUAUUUUUUGUAUCUGGCCAGAUUUGUUUGUGUUUCGCUGUUCAUUCGCAAUUCACUUGUCUAAUUGUCCCAAAUCCAAACUCGUAGCUUCUGUACAUCAUUCCUUGUACUUGUUAUCCCUGAUCUGCAACGUAUCAUAAUCCUGAGAUUUUUGUAGCAUGACCAGGUAUUCUUCAUUUCUCUGCACUUUUUGCCGACGAGUCCAGCUUUUUGCAGUAGUCGCAUUUCCCCUUCCCCUU